rnacentral:rRNA from 1 species
AUGAACGCUGGCGGCGUGCUUAAUACAUGCAAGUCGAACGGAAACAGUAGCAAUAUUGUUUUAGUGGCGAACGGGUGAGUAACGCGUUGGUGACCUGCCCCGAAGAGAGGGAUAACAGUUCGAAAGGACUGCUAAUACCACAUGCGAUCGCUUGGAUUAGAUGCCUUGCGAUUAAAGGAGUAAUCCGCUUUGGGAGGGACCUGCGUCCCAUCAGCUAGUUGGUAAGGUAAUGGCUUACCAAGGCUAUGACGGGUAGGGGACCUGAGAGGGUGACCCCCCACACUGGCACUGAAACACGGGCCAGACACCUACGGGUGGCAGCAGUAGGGAAUCUUGGACAAUAGGCGAAAGCCUGAUCCAGCAAUGCCGCGUGCACGAUGAAGGUCUUCGGAUUGUAAAGUGCUUUUAGAAGGGAUGAGUAAGGACAGUACCUUCUGAAUAAGCCUCGGCGAACUACGU